AGAGUUUGAUCCUGGCUCAGGAUGAACGCUGGCGGCGUGCUUAACACAUGCAAGUCGAACGGGGAUUAUUUCAUUGAAGCUUCGGCAGAUUUGGCUUAAUCCUAGUGGCGGACGGGUGAGUAACGCGUGGGUAACCUGCCUUGUACAGGGGGAUAACAGUCAGAAAUGACUGCUAAUACCGCAUAAGCGCACAGGACCGCAUGGUCCGGUGUGAAAAACUCCGGUGGUAUAAGAUGGACCCGCGUUGGAUUAGCUUGUUGGUGGGGCAACGGCCCACCAAGGCGACGAUCCAUAGCCGGCCUGAGAGGGUGAACGGCCACAUUGGGACUGAGACACGGCCCAGACUCCUACGGGAGGCAGCAGUGGGGAAUAUUGCACAAUGGGGGAAACCCUGAUGCAGCGACGCCGCGUGAAGGAAGAAGUAUCUCGGUAUGUAAACUUCUAUCAGCAGGGAAGAAAAUGACGGUACCUGACUAAGAAGCCCCGGCUAACUACGUGCCAGCAGCCGCGGU
rnacentral:rRNA from 1 species